ACCGCAUAAUGCGCUCUUGUGCUGUAAUUGGAAAACGGCCAUAGUAAAUUUUUCAACUCUGCACACUUCUCUACAUUAAAAUUGCACCACUUGCCACGCCCGCGCUGUGCUGGUGUGUCUUGUAAUCAGUUGCUCACGGCCUAACAAUUUUUCAUCUUAAAUCUUUAUCUCCACCAUCCUUAGAUAAUGGUUAAGUAAUACCUAAAAUAUAUUACAUACAUAAUAUUUACAGCGAUCAGUUUGGGAGCCAGAAAACCUAUACGAUAUAAUGUUACACAGUAAGUAGCCUUCUAUUUCAUUAGUGACGACUACCGACCACUACCAAACUUCAAGCACUCCAGUGUACUUAGUACGAGUUUUUGAACAUUCUCUUCAACAUCUCGAUAGCGUAAAAGCUAACUCAUAUUAAUUUGUAUAGGGUUGGAACGUUUGCCUACGUUUGCCGCUAGGGGCGCUGUUCCAACUGCAUACAAAUUUGCCUUCUAUAUUAUGUGUUUUAACGUCUUCUCUUGGGUGCCAGAAAUAUAUACACGGACGGCGAAGGCGUACCAGAUGGAGGUCCGAGGGAUUACAAAGAGGCUGUCAGGGUGGGAACAAUCCAGAUAUAAAAAACCCGUAUUAAUUUUUAAUAUUGGUAGAACGUGUUGCCAGCUAACUAGUGCUUUCGGCCGGCCAUUUCUACCACAAAGCAGCUAUAGAAGAAUGCUACACUAGACUAAUGAAAAAAAUUUAAAAACUUUUCUACAAUUAAUUUAAAAAAAAAACACAUUACAGAUUUUCAGCUAAACACGACAACCCCAAUUUCGUCAGAGAUCGCUUCAAAGGCAAGUCUACUUAAAGUAGAAUUAUUUUGUCCGUGCAGUUUGGGUCAUAAAAAAUCGAAGCGGUGAAGCGAGUAUUUCGCUCUCUCUUCCACUCACGAGCCUUAUGGACGGGCAUAGUGAUGCGCAAUAUUGUUGUCGAUAAGCGUUAUCGAUAGUGUAUUUAGUUUUGUCAUUUUGUGGGUUAGUGAUUAAAAUGAAAGAAAGAAUCACUAAUCGAACACUUACACCACGUAUUGCCGCAGCCAGUUAACGAGAACGGCAGAAAUUAACACUUUGUAACUUUUCGGGACUUAUUCUUAUUUCAGUGAAAAAUUUUAACGCAUUGUUGAUAACAACACGUGCAAAUAUUAUUUUGAAUAAAUUCUGCCGUUUUGAUACAAAACAAAGGAGUAGGCAUUGUGUCACUAAAGAAAUUCAGAGAACGAAUUCAUAAAAACACAUUUCUCUUCGACAUAAUAUACUAUAAUUUGCAGGUAAGUACAAAUGACUCUUAGCAUAACAAUGUCUCACCACCCUUCGUAUACCACCCCGCCGCCGUGUACCUAUCUUCGAUGACUCAUUUGUUUUUAUCGAUAAUGGCGUUGCGCCCGCAUAACAUGCUCACCGCCCUAGCCGAGCUAUGUUUUAUGGCCCAAACUGCACGGACAAAAUAAUUCUACUAUAGUUGCUUUUAGCACAUACCAAUUAUUGUACGUAUAAGUUAUUCUGAUUGAAUAUUCAAAUUUUAAAUACAGUUAGAUGUAUAAAAUUUUCUCUAAUCAACUUUCUCUCUACCUAACUAUUCAUCUCUUAUAGUGGUGGGUCAGCUUUCUUUAUUUCUCUUCUCCAUUUGGCUUCGUCUUGGACAUCCCCAUCAGUGAGAUUACAUUCCUUCUUAACCUUCAGCACUAUAUCUUUCCACCUUAUAUUGGUCCUUCACUUUGGUCUCCGAUCGGAGAGAUCAAGCUGCAUUGACAAAUUUCCAUUGUAGCAUGGUGGCUUCCUUUUUCCAUGACCAUACAUUCUCAGGCCACUCUAGCAUCUCAUCGACGAUGUCAAACACAGGUUACCUCGAUUUAAACUUACAUUUUUAUUUUUAUCUAUUAAUCGACAAUCGUACCCUAUUUAACGCGUCAACAACGGACAUUUUGUUUUAAUAGGACACUUUAGAUUUUUUUUUAUUGCAUAGAUGGGUGGAAGAGCUCACAGCCCACCUGGUGUUAAGUGGUUAGCGGAGGCCAUAGACAUCUACAACGUAGAUGCCGCCACCCACCUUGAGACAUGAGUUCUAAGGUCUUAGUAUAGUUAAAACGGUUGCCCCGUCCUUCGAACCGAAACGCAUUACUGCUUCACGGCAGAAAUAGGCAGGGUGGUGGUACCUACCCGUGCGAACUCACAAGAGGGCCUACCACCAGUAAUUACGCAAAUUAUAAUUUUGCGGGUUUGAUUUUUAUUACACGAUGUUAUUCCUUAACCGUGGGAGUUAAUCGUGAAUAUUUGUUAAGUACGUAUUUCAUUAGAAAAAUUGGUACCCGUCUGCGGGAUUCGAACACCGACCGUUGCAUCGCUACAUACGAAUACCGGACGUCUUAUCCUUUAGGCCACGACGACUGAAAAUCCACAGAGAUUUAUAUCCACACAGUCGAGGAUAGGCAGGAAUGGCGCAGGAUAAUCCAGGAGAAAGUUGUUAGAGGUUGCCACGAGGUUCAGCAUUGAGGAUUAUUGACGCAAGGAGGAUAUAUUUUGUAUACAUCUCUUUCCCACACCGCAACAAUUUGAUGUUACCGUCGCCACGCGAGGGAGAAGACCCGGUUUUUCUCAGUUCUCAGCGGCGCUGAUCUCGCGUAUGAACGAUGGUGACCAUUCAUAGAUUUAUUACCAUAUUCCGAUGAUUCCAGAUUUAAUUGACAAGCCCCUGAUGCCUGGGUCUUGGGUUAGCAAAUACAAACAGCCUUACAAUCCGGCGUGGAUGGAUUAUUGUGACCCCUAUCAUUGCGGUGAUUAUCACAAAAGAGCUUGCGGCCUUAACAGAGAUAACAUGAGAUUCGAAUGGUUCCAAAGCGUUUGCCAUUUGAUAUUAAACAACAAAUGCUCAACAUAUAAAGGGACUCUUAAAUAUCAACCGGUCGAUACGAAGUUCUGCUAUAUGUAUGUGAUGUACUUGAGGAAUGGCCGUCAGAAGUGUGACGACACGAGCUUAGAAGCCGACGUAUAUUACUUAAUUGAUUGAGUAAAACUUAAUUUUGUUUUUAAUUAAAGAAUAAAACAAUAACAGACUAAAAGAAAUAUCGCAGUUUUCGAUUGUGAAUACAUUACUUGAGAUUUAUUAAACAAAUUUGGUUCGAA